GCUUGUUUGGUAUGCUGAGCGUUGUGUCUGUUGUCUGCAGCUUGUAGUUACAUUCCAAUGGCCUUGUUUAUUAUAGACCAGACAUACAUUCGAGAGGGGUUCUUGAUUCCGUAUCCUGUGUCUGCACGCUUGUGUGUGAGAUCUUAACACAUGCUCCGUUGUGUGUGUGUGUGUGUUAGAAACGGGAGCGAGGCUGAGGUCACAGCACAAGCUCAGUGGAAACAUUCUCGGAGACUCGAACCAAGCGCUCUGCUUGGUCCUCCAUUUUGAGCACCUAGCAAUAGGUGGGAAGGAACAGAGUGAGUUGAUUUCACAAACGACCACUACUACAGUUCUAGACAAAACUGUCAACGUCCCGACCCUUAGAGAUCGGUGUCAGACAUGGACGACUUGUUCGCCCCGCGGAGGAGAUAUAAGAACAGAAGCAAGGCUUGUGCGGACUCCAUUUUGCAGUACCCUUCUCUCUCUCUCUCUCUCUCUCUCUCUCUAUGCUCGUGUUUACAAUCGAGCCGACAUGGCAGCCCUGAGAUCUUUGUGCACUCUCUCGAGCGCUG